rnacentral:tRNA from 1 species
UGCGGCGUUGCUGAUUUUUGCUGCGGCGGCCUGGGCUUUCGGUUCGGUGUGGAGCCGGCAUCUGCCGCUGCCGCAGGGUGCGAUGGCCAGUGCCGUGG